AGGGAUGGGGCUCAGUGGUAGAGCACUUGCCUAGCAUGAACAAGGCCCUGGGUUCAAUCCCCAGCACCACAA
rnacentral:tRNA from 1 species